rnacentral:lncRNA from 1 species
UCAGAAGUUGUUGAGUAAGAAUUUUGCUCUGCAAUCGUCUAUUUUUUUUACUGUAAGCUUUGCAGUUUGUUGGCAUAUCGUUUCUUGGAUUGAAACUAUAUCGCCAAGCAAUACCGUGCGUGCAAGAUUUUGACCAUCAUUUAUCCAACGCUGCUACUCUGUUUGCGUUGUGCGCGGAAGUGGGUCACGUUGCAAAUUCGUGGAGCAGUUGGAGUGACUAUGGCAAUGCACUCUGAAUCGUUUUCCUUUCCAUUGGGAAUUGUGUUCCUUUGCCUGGCGUUGGAUCUUCAAGCAGUUUACGUAGUCUGUAGGCACUUGAAGACGCAGUGUGGACGUUUAGUCGAAAUUUUCGUUCCAAUCAUGUAGAGUGAAAGUACUGACACAUGAAAUUCUUAGUUGCAGAGGGUGGAAAGAUUCUCUUUCAAAUCCUGUUUGUCAUGCUUAUCACUACCGUAUAUAAGGAUACCCUUCAAAUAUGUACUAGGAUUCAUAUUGACUGUGAGUGACCAUAUGAUUUAAUAUAAACAGCAUGGCAAAGUGUUCUGAUACAAAAUGUGCUCUGCGAUCGACGUGGCUUUUUUGUAACUGUCACAAAGUUUGUUUCUCCUAGAAAGUUUCUCAAAAUACCCGCACGAGAUGAACUCGCAAAUGUUUGGAUAUCUUCUUCACUUACUGCAUUGCCAUGAUAUCAUUAACCUGAGAUUAGUCGAGCACCGUGCGGACUCCGGUGCUAUCAACCAUCAAUCGGGUAACAUCAUUGUUAGUCUGGUCAAGUUCAACAUUUUAGCACAGACCUUGCGGUCGCAGUGCCCCCGCAGUGCAGUACAACUAGCCCUACCAAUCUAGGACUGAUCACUCUGUAUAUAGAUGCAAACCAAACAACGCUGCAGCUAUUCUGUUGAGACCCAGAGUCGAUCGAAAGCAGAAUCGAGGAAAAUGGUCGCAUCAAAGCUCAUUCUACAAUCUUUUGGGUUGUUACAUUCUGUGGAUAGUGCAGUGUCGCCCAUCAGUACCAAAACCUGACGGCAGAAAAUGUUGUCGCAUUUCAGCUUCAGAUAGGACCCCAUGUCGAAGAGGCGCUGUUCAUUAUCCCUCCUGGAAAAGACACGCCGUCUUAAAGAUAUGCAAUCUCCUGAGGCACUAAAACCGUAACCACACUCUGCUCUAACCUCCAUCGCGUUGACUGUCACUCUUCUCAUGCACUUAACUCUCUUGUGCAGUAACUAAACACCACCAAAAACUGCGCUUGUGAAUCAGCACUUCUCUCGUCAGGUCAGAAGGGAUCCUGCGCACAACCUUACCGACACUCGCCACAGAAUGCUGCAAAAAAGUCUUGUCGUAACUCCUUCGAGCUUGCGCGGCACUUUUAUAACUUUUUCAAGCUGUAGGAGUGUUGCAACGUGAGGUUAUCCAACCGGUUAUGUCAAAAGCGUAUACCAUCUCUAAUCUACCCUUUGUUUGCUGGAUAAAUUAUAAUGAUUCAAGGGAAGACAACAAUUAACGAGGGGGAUCACCAGAGAAUAUUAAUUAAGUGGUGCCAAAUGCUCAAGUUACCAAUCCUAUAUCGAAAUUAUAAUAUUGAGCAGAUUAAAACCGAAACACAAUUUAUCUUAUUAAAAUUCGACAUGCAAUUAAGACAAGUUGCCAAUUAUUUAGGGGGAGCAUCAGGAGUUGGCUGAUUGUACCCCUGUUUCUUUCCGUCCUCUGGAGAGCAUUAAUCGCAUGCCGCUGCUGACGUCAAGUAAAGAAAUAUCUUCACUUGUCGUGAGUCUCUGAAGUCCUUGUCCAUGAC